CGCAUCUGUGCAUGCAGCAUAUCAAUAAGCGGAGGAAAAGAAACUAACAAGGAUUCCCUUAGUAACGGCGAGUGAAGCGGGAAGAGCUCAAAUUUGAAAUCUUCAAGGUUUUACCUUGACGAAUUGUAGUUUAAAGAAGUGUUUUCUGCUGAAGUUUUGGUAAAAGUUCUUUGGAAUAGGACAUCAUAGAGGGUGAGAAUCCCGUAUUUGACCAUUAUUUUCAGCUUUGUGAUACACUUUCAAAGAGUCGGAUUGUUUGGGAAUGCAGUCCAAAAUGGGUGGUAAAUUUCAUCUAAAGCUAAAUAUUGGCGAGAGACCGAUAGCGAACAAGUACCGUGAGGGAAAGAUGAAAAGAACUUUGAAAAGAGAGUUAAACAGUACGUGAAAUUGUCAAAAGGGAAGCGUUUGACACCAGUGUUGUUUUUCUGAAAAUCAAUUAAAGAACUGUUUAUGCUAAGCUGUCUAGACUUUAUCAGCUAUCUGUUUAGUUUUGAGCUUUUCUUUAAUGCACUUUUCAGGUUAACAAGUCAACAUCAAUUUCUUUUGCUGUAAAAAAGCUUGAGGAAGGUGGCUUGAGAUUCGUCUUAAGUGUUUAUAGCCUCUUGCCUAUGCAGUCGGAGAGAUUGAGGUCUGCAGCGUAGAUCCUUCGGGGCUAAAUGCAUUUGUGCUAAGUUAUAGCAUUUUAUAGACAACUUGUUGACUAUGAUUUGUCUUGUAGCUUACUCGCUUAUGCUAUUUUACCUACGCUUAGGAUGUUGAUAGUCACAGCGUGUAC
rnacentral:rRNA from 1 species